rnacentral:lncRNA from 1 species
UUGAACCAGCGACCUCUGGCCCAAAGCGUUUCAGGAACUUCUUACAGUCCUCUGCUCUACCAACUGAGCUAUGAAGGUGCUUAUAGACACAAACGCAGAAAACAUAGUGGCUUCGGCGACACACUUUGCCAACAAUACAACUGGACCCACAUGGUCAAUGAAAAAGGUUGAACAGUGGAUAGACCAAUGAAAUAUGGUGCUUGGAGCUGGAGUUGAACCAGCGACCUUUGGACCACAGCGUUUCAGGAAAUUCUUAAAGUCAUGUGCUCUACCAACUGAGCUAUGAAGGUACUUGUAGACACAAACGCAGAAAACAUAGUGGCUUCGGCGACACACUUUGCCAACACAACAAUCAAGACACUUGGUCAAUGAAAAAGGUUGAACAGUGGAUAGACCAAUGAAAUAUGGUGCUUGGAGCUGGAGUUGAACCAGCGACGUUUGGACCACAGCGUUUCAGGAACUUCUUAAAGUCAUGUGCUCUACGAACUGAGCUAUGAAGAUACUUGUAGACACAAACGCAGAAAACAUAGUGGCUUCGGCGACACACUUUGCCAACACAACAAUCAAGCCACUUGGUCAAUGAAAAAGGUUGAACAGUGGAUAUAACAAUGAAAUCUGGUGCUUGGAGCUGGAGUUGAACCAGCGACUUUUGGACAACACCGUUUCAGGAACUUCUUAAAGUCAUGUGCUCUACUAACUGAGCUAUGAAGGUGCUUAAACGCUGAAAACAUAGUGGCUUCGGCGACACACUUUGCCAAAAUAACUAUUGGACCCACAUGGUCAAUGAAAAAGGUUGAACAGUGCAUAUACCAAUGAAAUCUGGUGCUUGCAGGUGGAGUUGAACCAGCGACCUUUUGACCAAAGCGUUUCUUGAACUUUUUAAAGUCAUGUGCUCUACCAACUGAGCUAUGAAGGUGCUUAGAGACAAAAAUGCAGAAAACAUAGUGGCUUCGGCGACACACUUUGCCAACAAUACAAUUGGACCCACAUGGUCAAUGAAAAAGGUUGAACAGUGCAUAUACCAAUGAAAUCUGGUGCUUGCAGGUGGAGUUGAACCAGCGACCUUUUGACCAAAGCGUUUCUUGAACUUCUUAAAGUCAUGUGCUCUACCAACUGAGCUAUGAAGGUGCGUAUAUACACAUACGCAGAAAACAUAGUGGCUUCGGCGACACACUUUGCCAACAUAACUAUUGGACCGACAUGGUUGAUGAAAAAGGUUGAACAGUGCAUACAGCAAUGAAAUGUGGUGUUUGGAGCUGGAGUUGAACCAGCGACCUUUGGACCACAGCGUUUCAGGAACUUCUUACAGUCCUCUGCUCUACCAACUGAGCUAUGAAGGUGCUUAUAGACACAAACGCAGAAAACAUAGUGGCUUUGGCCACAGACUUUGCCAACACAACAAUCAAGCCACUUUGUCAAUGAAAAAGGUUGAACAGUGCAUAUACCAAUGAAAUCUGGUGCUUGCAGGUGGAGUUGAACCAGCGACCUUUGGACCACAGCGUUUCAGGAACUUCUUAAAGUCAUGUGCUCUACCAACUGAGCUAUGAAGGUGCUUAUAUAUACAAACGCAGAAAACAUAGUGGCUUCGGCGACACACUUUGCCAACAUAACAAUCAAGCCACCUGGUCAAUGAAAAAGGUUGAACAGUGCAUACAUCAAAGAAAUCUGGUGUUUGGAGCUGGAGUUGAACCAGCGACCUUUGGACCACAGCGUUUCAGGAACUUCUUACAGGCCUCUGCUCUACCAACUGAGCUAUGAAGGUGCUUAUAGACACAAACGCAGAAAACAUAGUGGCUUAGGCCACAGACUUUGCCAACACAACAAUCAAGCCACUUGGUCAAUGAAAAAGGUUGAACAGUGGAAAUAACAAUGAAAUCUGGUGCUUGGAGCUGGAGUUGAACCAGCGACGUUUGGACCACAGCAUUUCAGGAAGUUCUUGCAGUCAUGUGCUGUACCAACUGAGCUAUGAAGGUGCUUAUAGACACAAACGCAGAAAACAUAGUGGCUUCGGCCACAGACUUUGCCAAAAUAACAAUCAAGCCACCUGGUCAAUGAAAAAAGUUGAACAGUGCAUACACCAAUGAAAUCUGGUGUUUGGAGCUGGAGUUGAACCAGCGACCUUUGGACCACAGCGUUUCAGGAACUUCUUAAAGUCAUGUGCUGUACCAACUGAGCUAUGAAGGUGCUUCUAGACACAAACGCAGAAAACAUAGUGGCUUGGGCGACACACUUUGCCAACAUAACAAUCAAGCCACCUGGUCAAUGAAAAAGGUUGAAAAGUGCAUACACCAAUGAAAUCUGGUGUUUGGAGCUGGAGUUGAACUAGCGACCUUUGGACCACAGCGUUUCAGGAACUUCUUACAGUCCUCUGCUCUACCAACUGAGCUAUGAAGGUGCUUAUAGACACAAACGCAGAAAACAUAGUGGCUUCGGCCACAGACUUUGCCAACACAACAAUCAAGCCACUUGGUCAAUGAAAAAGGUUGAACAGUGGAUAUAACAAUGAAAUCUGGUGCUUGCAGGAGGAGUUGAACCAGUGACCUUUGGACCAAAGCGUUUCUUGAACUUCUUAAAGUCAUGUGCUCUACCAACUGAGCUAUGAAGGUGCGUAUAUAUACAUACGCAGAAAACAUAGUGGCUUCGGCGACACACUUUGCCAACAAUGCAUUUGGACCCACAUGGUCAAUGAAAAAGGUUGAACAGUGCAUAUACCAAUGAAAUCUGGUGCUUGCAGGUGGAGUUGAACCAGCGACCUUUGGACCACAGCGUUUCUUGAACUUCUUAAAGUCAUGUGCUCUACCAACUGAGCUAUGAAGGUGCUAAUAGACACAAAUGCAGAAAACAUAGUGGCUUCGGCGACACACUUUGCCAAAAUAACAAUCAAGCCACCUGGUCAAUGAAAAAGGUUGAACAGUGCAUACAGCAAUGACAUCUGGUGUUUGGAGCUGGAGUUGAACCAGCGACCUUUGGACCAAAGCGUUUCUUGAACUUCUUACAGUCCUCUGCUCUACCAACUGAGCUAUGAAGGUGCUAAUAGACACAAAUGCAGAAAACAUAGUGGCUUCGGCGACACACUUUGCCAACAAUACAAUUGGACCCACAUGGUCAAUGAAAAAGGUUGAACAGUGCAUACACCAAUGAAAUCUGGUGCUUGCAGGUGGGGUUGAACCAGCGACCUUUGGACCACAGCUUUUCAGGAACUUCUUAAAGUCAUGUGCUCUACCAACUGAGCUAUGAAGGUGCUUAUAUAUACAAACGCAGAAAACAUAGUGGCUUCGGCGACACACUUUGCCAAAAUAACAAUCAAGCCACCUGGUCAAUGAAAAAGGUUGAACAGUGCAUACAGGAAUGACAUCUGGUGUUUGGAGCUGGAGUUGAACCAGCGACCUUUGGACCAAAGCGUUUCAGGAACUUCUUACAGUCCUCUGGUCUACCAACUGAGCUAUGAAGGUGCUUAUAGACACAAACGCAGAAAACAUAGUGGCUUCGGCCACAGACUUUGCCAACACAACAAUCAAGCCACUUGGUCAAUGAAAAAGGUUGAACAGUGCAUACACCAAUGAAAUCUGGUGCUUGCAGGUGGAGUUGAACCAGCGACCUUUGGACCACAGCUUUUCAGGAACUUCUUAAAGUCAUGUGCUCUACCAACUGAGCUAUGAAGGUGCUUAUAUAUACAAACGCAGAAAACAUAGUGGCUUCGGCGACACACUUUGCCAACAUAACUAUUGGACUGACAUGGUCGAUGAAAAAGGUUGAACAGUGCAUACAGCAAUGAAAUCUGGUUUUUUGAGCUGGAGUUGAACCAGCGACCUAUGGACCAAAGCGUUUCAGGAACUUCUUACAGUCCUCUGCUCUACCAACUGAGCUAUGAAGGUGCUUAUAGAUACAAACGCAGAAAACAUAGUGGCUUCGGCGACACACUUUGCCAACAAUACAAUUGGACCCACAUGGUCAAUGAAAAAGGUUGAACAGUGCAUACACCAAUGAAAUCUGGUGCUUGCAGGUGGAAUUGAACCAGCAACCUUUGGACCACAGCUUUUCAGGAACUUCUUAAAGUCAUGUGCUCUACCAACUGAGCUAUGAAGGUGCUUAUAUAUACAAACGCAGAAAACAUAGUGGCUUCGGCGACACACUUUGCCAACAUAACAAUCAAGCCACCUGGUCAAUGAAAAAGGUUGAACAGUGCAUACACCAAUGAAAUCUGGUGUUUGGAGCUGGAGUUGAACCAGCGACCUUUGGACCACAGCGUUUCAGGAACUUCUUAAAGUCAUGUGCUCUACCAACUGAGCUAUGAAGAUGCUUAUAGACACAAACGCAGAAAACAUAGUGGCUUCGGCCACAGACUUUGCCAACACAACAAUCAAGCCACCUGGUCAAUGAAAAAGGUUGAACAGUGGAUAUAACAAUGAAAUCUGGUGCUUGGAACUGGAGUUGAACCAGCGACUUUUGGACCACAGCGUUUCAGGAACUUCUUAAAGUCAUGUGCUCUACCAACUGAGCUAUGAAGGUGCUUAUAGACACAAACGCAGAAAACAUAGUGGCUUGGGCGACACACUUUGCCAACAUAACAAUCAAGCCACCUGGUCAAUGAAAAAGGUUGAACAGUGCAUACACCAAUGAAAUCUGGUGUUUGGAGCUGGAGUUGAACCAGCGACCUUUGGACCACAGCGUUUCAGGAACUUCUUACAGUCCUCUGCUCUACCAACUGAGCUAUGAAGGUGCUUAUAUAUACAAACGCAGAAAACAUAGUGGCUUCGGCGACACACUUUGCCAACAUAACAAUCAAGCCACAUGGUCGAUGAAAAAGGUUGAACAGUGCAUACAGCAAUGAAAUCUGGUGUUUGGAGCUGGAGUUGAACCAGCGACGUUUGGACCACAGCGUUUCAGGAACUUCUUAAAGUCAUGUGCUCUACCAACUGAGCUAUGAAGGUGCUUAUAGAGACAAACGCAGAAAACAUAGUGGCUUCGGCGACACACUUUGCCAACAUAACUAUUGGACCCACAUGGUCGAUGAAAAAGGUUGAACAGUGCAUACACCAAUGAAAUCUGGUGUUUGGAGCUGGAGUUGAACCAGCGACCUUUGGCCCAAAGCGU